GACGAACGCUGGCGGCGUGCUUAACACAUGCAAGUCGAACGGACCCUUUGGGGUUAGUGGCGAACGGGUGAGUAACACGUGGGUGAUCUGCCCUGCAUUUUGGGAUAAGCCUGGGAAACUGGGUCUAAUACCGGAUAGGACUACGCACUGCAUGGUGUGUGGUGGAAAGCUUUUGCGGUGUGGGAUGGGCCCGCGGCCUAUCAGCUUGUUGGUGGGGUGAUGGCCUACCAAGGCGACGACGGGUAGCCGGCCUGAGAGGGUGACCGGCCACACUGGGACUGAGAUACGGCCCAGACUCCUACGGGAGGCAGCAGUGGGGAAUAUUGCACAAUGGGCGCAAGCCUGAUGCAGCGACGCCGCGUGAGGGAUGACGGCCUUCGGGUUGUAAACCUCUUUCGCCAGGGACGAAGCGCAAGUGACGGUACCUGGAGAAGAAGGACCGGCCAACUACGUGCCAGCAGCCGCGGUAAUACGUAGGGUCCGAGCGUUGUCCGGAAUUACUGGGCGUAAAGAGCUCGUAGGUGGUUUGUCGCGUUGUUCGUGAAAACUCACAGCUUAACUGUGGGCGUGCGGGCGAUACGGGCAGACUGGAGUACUGCAGGGGAGACUGGAAUUCCUGGUGUAGCGGUGGAAUGCGCAGAUAUCAGGAGGAACACCGGUGGCGAAGGCGGGUCUCUGGGCAGUAACUGACGCUGAGGAGCGAAAGCGUGGGGAGCGAACAGGAUUAGAUACCCUGGUAGUCCACGCCGUAAACGGUGGGUACUAGGUGUGGGUCUCCUUCCUUGGGAUCCGUGCCGUAGCUAACGCAUUAAGUACCCCGCCUGGGGAGUACGGCCGCAAGGCUAAAACUCAAAGGAAUUGACGGGGGCCCGCACAAGCGGCGGAGCAUGUGGAUUAAUUCGAUGCAACGCGAAGAACCUUACCUGGGUUUGACAUGCACAGGACGCCGGCAGAGAUGUCGGUUCCCUUGUGGCCUGUGUGCAGGUGGUGCAUGGCUGUCGUCAGCUCGUGUCGUGAGAUGUUGGGUUAAGUCCCGCAACGAGCGCAACCCUUGUCUCAUGUUGCCAGCACGUUAUGGUGGGGACUCGUGAGAGACUGCCGGGGUCAACUCGGAGGAAGGUGGGGAUGACGUCAAGUCAUCAUGCCCCUUAUGUCCAGGGCUUCACACAUGCUACAAUGGCCGGCACAAAGGGCUGCGAUGCCGUGAGGUGGAGCGAAUCCUUUCAAAGCCGGUCUCAGUUCGGAUCGGGGUCUGCAACUCGACCCCGUGAAGUCGGAGUCGCUAGUAAUCGCAGAUCAGCAACGCUGCGGUGAAUACGUUCCCGGGCCU
rnacentral:rRNA from 1 species